CAGGCCCCUGAAGGCAUUUAUAAGGGGUUGCUGUUGUGUCACAAGGUAGCACAGAAAAGAGAGGCGAUGUUCAUGCUUGGCGUUCUGACCUGUGAACUAAUCUGAAUGAUCAGUAGCCUAACAUU
ensembl:snoRNA